rnacentral:lncRNA from 1 species
UAUCUCUUUGUGUUUCUUUUUAGAUCUGAACGGUGAUGGCACACAUUUCGGUUACAAGUUGUUCAGUGAGCUGUGGGUCGACAGAACUAUCAGCAUUCCUGCCGUGAUGCAUGCCUCGAAGUCCCUUCACUACACCUAUGUUCUGAUCAGAGGCCAACUAAAUGACAUUCAGAACUUCCACUAAGAUUUCGUGGAGGCAUGGCACCUGCUUUUCUACAAGAGAAAUUCAGCACACAGCAGAGUCCUUGAUAAAUUGGAUUGGUUUGAGGAUCCUACCUGGAAUAGGUAUGUA